GCACCAAUCACGCCAACUUUUUUAUUACCGCACGUACAUAUGCAGCUCGGUCGAUCAAAGAACGUGAUAUGGAAGUCGUUCAUUUGCAGCAGUUCAGCUCCAUAACUGAACUGUGUGACAUUAAACAACGGAGCCCUCGCUUGGAAAAAUGAGAGGAGAACAAGAACAACCAGAGGUUUCUUUUCGGUACAGUUACCAAACUUACAAUGAGUCCAUUUGUAAAUUCAUCCGGCUCUAUUCCAACACUUGAUGGUGUUCUUUAAGAACAUUCAAAAAUAAAACUAUUGAUAACCCUGCCGAAAAGGGCGACGCUGAUCAAUGUAGUUUCAUCAUUUAAAUCACAUUUACCUAUAUAUGAAUAACUAUCAUUGCACAGAACCUGUGAAUGUGGCCGUGGCGGGACAUUGAACCCUCUAGUGGCCAACAUACUGUAAAUGCAAUUUUUCAAAACCAAAGUUAUAAGAAAUGCUGAGAAAUAUUAAUGUUUGUACAAAUGUUCUAGACAUAAAUGAAAAUAAAUAAAUAAAAGGCAAUUUUCCCCCCAUAA